UACGGAGGGUGCAAGCGUUAUCCGGAUUCACUGGGCUUAAAGGGUGCGUAGGCGGGCAGGUAAGUCAGUGGUGAAAUCUCCGAGCUUAACUCGGAAACUGCCAUUGAUACUAUUUGUCUUGAAUAUUGUGGAGGUAAGCGGAAUAUGUCAUGUAGCGGUGAAAUGCUUAGAUAUGACAUAGAACACCAAUUGCGAAGGCAGCUUACUACACAAUGAUUGACGCUGAGGCACGAAAGCGUGGGGAUCAAACAGG
rnacentral:rRNA from 1 species